rnacentral:tRNA from 1 species
ACAAAAUGUAGCUUAAUACAAAGCAUCUCGCUUACACCGAGACCAUGUCUGUUUAACUCGGAUCAUUUUGA